CACCCACACAUUGAUUGCACCUUAUCUAUAUUCUGUCUUCUUGAAAAGAUACUGCUUCAAUCAGCUAUCCAUUUCGGGGAUCGAUGAUGAGUGGGUGGUAUCAGUCAGGCCGGAUAUUGUUCUCAGCCGGUGAUGGGCGAUUUUUAGCAUUUUUUUAAAAAGUUUUCAUAUUUGUACACUCCUCAUCAUAACUAUUACGGUAUGAAUUCUUGAGGCACGUCCCCAACUUACCAAAAAAAACUCUAUAUUUUCUCUUACCAAAAAAAAAACACUGUUUUUUCUUACCCAAAAAAAAAUCUAUUUUGAUAAAUUUUUAUAUCAUCUUUUUCGACUGCCAUGGGCCCUGGGUCGCCGCAACACCCAGUUUUACCUCGAUCAGUAAUCUGUUGGUGUAAAAUCUAGCCCGCUUGGUGGGCUCUCAGGCGGAGAACGUGAGAGAAACCGUUGUGCCCACAGCAUGGAAAUGCCCACCGCGUUUUUGGUGGAAACCGUUGUGCCCACAGCAUGGAAAUGCCCACCGCGUUUUUGGUGGCCACACGCGAAUUCAAAGGACGAGAUGACGCAUGCAUCGUCACGUGAAUGCUUCGAUAGAAAUAUUGAAACAAAACAGCAAUUGAAGCAUUUGCUGUUGUUUAAUAAAACUUAUUUCUGAUCACACAAUCAUACAAUCAAUCAGACC
rnacentral:lncRNA from 1 species